rnacentral:rRNA from 1 species
GACGAACGCUGGCGGCGUGCUUAACACAUGCAAGUCGAACGGAAAGGCCCUGCUUUUGUGGGGUGCUCGAGUGGCGAACGGGUGAGUAACACGUGAGUAACCUGCCCUUGACUUUGGGAUAACUUCAGGAAACUGGGGCUAAUACCGGAUAGAAGCUCCUGCUGCAUGGUGGGGGUUGGAAAGUUUCGGCGGUUGGGGAUGGACUCGCGGCUUAUCAGCUUGUUGGUGGGGUAGUGGCUUACCAAGGCUUUGACGGGUAGCCGGCCUGAGAGGGUGACCGGCCACAUUGGGACUGAGAUACGGCCCAGACUCCUACGGGAGGCAGCAGUGGGGAAUAUUGCACAAUGGGCGGAAGCCUGAUGCAGCAACGCCGCGUGCGGGAUGACGGCCUUCGGGUUGUAAACCGCUUUCGCCUGUGACGAAGCGUGAGUGAUGGUAAUGGGUAAAGAAGCACCGGCUAACUACGUG